CCUACGGGGGACAGCAGUGAGGAAUAUUGGUCAAUGGACGAGAGUCUGAACCAGCCAAGUAGCGUGAAGGAUGACUGCCCUAUGGGUUGUAAACUUCUUUUAUAUGGGAAUAAAACGUUCCACGUGUGGGAUUUUGUAUGUACCAUAUGAAUAAGGAUCGGCUAACUCCGUGCCAGCAGCCGCGGUAAUACGGAGGAUCCGAGCGUUAUCCGGAUUUAUUGGGUUUAAAGGGAGCGUAGGUGGAUUGUUAAGUCAGUUGUGAAAGUUUGCGGCUCAACCGUAAAAUUGCAGUUGAAACUGGCAGUCUUGAGUACAGUAGAGGUGGGCGGAAUUCGUGGUGUAGCGGUGAAAUGCUUAGAUAUCACGAAGAACUCCGAUUGCGAAGGUAGUUCACUGGACUGCAACUGACACUGAGGCUCGAAAGUGUGGGUAUCAAACAGGAUUAGAUACCCCAGUAGUC
rnacentral:rRNA from 1 species